rnacentral:rRNA from 1 species
UCUGCCCGAUAGUGGGGGAUAACCUGGGGAAACCCAGGCUAAUACCGCAUACGUCCUACGGGAGAAAGGGGGCUCCGGCUCCCGCUAUGGGAUGAGCCUAUGUCGGAUUAGCUAGUUGGUGAGGUAACGGCUCACCAAGGCAACGAUCCGUAGCUGGUCUGAGAGGAUGAUCAGCCACAUCGGGACUGAGAGACGGCCCGAACUCCUACGGAAGGCAGCAGUGGGGAAUAUUGGACGAUGGGUGAAACCCUGAUCCAGCCAUGCCGCGUGUGUGAAGAAGGCCCUCGGGCUGUAAAGCACUUUCAGCGAGGAAGAACGCCUAGCGGUUAAUACCCGCUAGGAAAGACAUCACUCGCAGAAGAAGCACCGGCUAACUCCGUGCCAGCAGCCGCGGUAAUACGGAGGGUGCAAGCGUUAAUCGGAAUUACUGUGCGUAAAGCGCGCGUAGGUG